rnacentral:rRNA from 1 species
AUUGAACGCUGGCGGCAGGCUUAACACACGCAAGUCGAGCGGGGAAAGGUAGCUUGCUACUUGACCUAGCGGCGGACGGGUGAGUAAUGCUUAGGAAUCUGCCUAUUAGUGGGGGACAACAUCUCGAAAGGGAUGCUAAUACCGCAUACGUCCUACGGGAGAAAGCAGGGGACCUUCGGGCCUUGCGCUAAUAGAUGAGCCUAAGUCGGAUUAGCUAGUUGGUGGGGUAAAGGCCAACCAAGGCGACGAUCUGUAGCGGGUCUGAGAGGAUGAUCCGCCACACUGGGACUGAGACACGGCCCAGACUCCUACGGGAGGCAGCAGUGGGGAAUAUUGGACAAUGGGGGGAACCCUGAUCCAGCCAUGCCGCGUGUGUGAAGAAGGCCCUUUGGUUGUAAAGCACUUUAAGCGAGGAGGAGGCUACCGAGAUUAAUACUCUUGGAUAGUGGACGUUACUCGCAGAAUAAGCACCGGCUAACUCUGUGCCAGCAGCCGCGGUAACAC